CAUCUGGGCCAUAGUGCCAUAUACACCAUGUGCCGUAUCAUGGAGGAGAGGGCGUAUAUGGAGGAUUCUCCAUUGCUGAGAGGAGCAGUGUUCUCGUAGGAUGGCUCUAUGGGGGGCGCACCGUCUCCCAGCCUUAAAGAACACCCCUACCCUGGUCCUCCCAUCAUUCUAUAAGGCGAUGUGGUGUGCCAACGAGAUGGUGUCGUAUGAGAUCGUUCUGUCCAUCACAGACUGAUAAAGAAGUAUGGCAAGGAACUCCAGGUGGUCACAUGGGACAUACUGCUGGGGAUCAUAGAGAGGUUACUACAGCAGAUUCAGUCGAUAGGCAGUGCAGAGCUGAAGUCCAUAGUGUUUGAGUUGCUGACUACAGUGGAGGAGCUCUAUGAGCAGAACGGCUUCCACA
rnacentral:lncRNA from 1 species